rnacentral:lncRNA from 1 species
AGUUACUUCUUUUAAGUCAGCUUAUACAUGAAUAAUUUCUUUAUUGGCUUUAGUAUUUUCAGACGGUAGCAGUUGGGUUUAAUGAUAGGAAUGUUGUUGAAGAUAUGGUUGAUGGGCUUAAUCCUUGUUAUAGAGCCAUCUCAUCCACAAAGUCUUCUAAAAAAUACUGGAAAAGUCCAGGAGUCAAAAAGUUUCCAGUCUAAUGCUAAUCCUUCGUUGGAGAAUGAACCAUCAUCUGCAGUCAUUUUCAAAAAAAUAAAGCGAGAAAAUAAAUGCAUAAAAUUCAAAUACAUUAAGAGAUUAAGGGUGCAUGCUUGUGUAAAAUUUAUGGUCCUGCAUCCCGGAAGUAAUAUAACUACAAAUACUGAAAAUAUCAAGAGGACAAUCAACAAUUAAUUAUUCACUUUUUGCCUCAUUGUAUUAUUGCAUGAUCAUUUUUUUUUUGAUCAUCAUAUUUAGAAAUAUAAUCAACCUAGAAAUGAUUAUAUUUUUCAUAUCAAAACAAUUUACAUUUUAUU